rnacentral:rRNA from 1 species
GAUGAACGCUGGCGGCGUGCUUAACACAUGCAAGUCGAACGGAGUGGCGGACGGGUGAGUAACGCGUGGGUAACCUGCCUUAUACAAGGGGAUAACAGAGGGAAACUUCUGCUAAUACCGUAUAGUAUGAGAUGGACUCGCGUCUGAUUAGGUAGUUGGUGAGGUAGAGGCUCACCAAGCCGACGAUCGGUAGCCGAUCUGAGAGGAUGACCGGCCACAUUGGGACUGAGACACGGCCCAAACUCCUACGGGAGGCAGCAGUGGGGAAUAUUGGACAAUGGGGGCAACCCUGAUCCAGCGACGCCGCGUGAGUGAAGAAGUAUUUCGGUAUGUAAAGCUCUAUCAUAACGGAAGAAGCCGUUAAGGAAGAAGCCCCGGCUAACUACGUGCCAGCAGCCGCGGUAAUAC